GGAAUCCUGAAGAGGACCUAAUUGGAUUGGAUGAUGACAGUGACAUAGUCGUUGUAACACUAAAUUAUGACAACACUGAAGAAGUUGUACAGGACGAUCUCAGCAGUCCCUUUGGACACGGUUCCCCGAUACUGUUGCCUUCAGCCAGGAGUCUCUUCUCAUCACAAAUGCAAACCAGUAAUAUGGAGGCAGGACAAACUGGCCAGGACUCUGGCUUGAUUCCACCCGAAGAUUCUCACCCAAGUUCAAGCGGUCUACUGCCCCAAUCUGUUUCAGCUGGUAACUCAGAAAAUCUAGCAAACCAUCUACAUGUGUCAAUUCGCAGGAUCAAGGUUGUGGAAGAUCUUUUGGCUGUGUUUAUGGAAAACAACCUUUUGAAUCAGACUUUAAAAAUGGAGUUUGUGAAUGAAAGAGCAAUCGAUGAUGCUGGGGUAUCAAGGGAGGUUUACACUGCAUUUUGGGAGCAGUUUUUGGAACAGUGUGAGGGUGAAACAGAGCGAGUUCCCAGGUUGAGGUCUGACUUUUGUGAGUCUGAAUGGCAAGCCAUUGGACACAUUUGGGUCAAAGGAUUUCUAGACCAU